GAGUUUGAUCCUGGCUCAAAAUGAACGCUGGCGGCAUGCCUAACACAUGCAAGUCGAACGAAGCCUUCGGGUUUAGUGGCGCACGGGUGCGUAACGCGUGGGAAUCUGCCCCUUGGUUCGGAAUAACAGUUGGAAACGACUGCUAAUACCGGAUGAUGACGUAAGUCCAAAGAUUUAUCGCCGAGGGAUGAGCCCGCGUAGGAUUAGGUAGUUGGUGUGGUAAAGGCGCACCAAGCCGACGAUCCUUAGCUGGUCUGAGAGGAUGAUCAGCCACACUGGGACUGAGACACGGCCCAGACUCCUACGGGAGGCAGCAGUGGGGAAUAUUGGACAAUGGGCGAAAGCCUGAUCCAGCAAUGCCGCGUGAGUGAUGAAGGCCUUAGGGUUGUAAAGCUCUUUUACCCGGGAUGAUAAUGACAGUACCGGGAGAAUAAGCUCCGGCUAACUCCGUGCCAGCAGCCGCGGUA
rnacentral:rRNA from 1 species